rnacentral:misc_RNA from 1 species
CAACCGCCCUCGUCUUAAAAAAGUACCUCGCCGACUCCAACCCACAACGCAACACUGCCGUACCUUCACCACCGAGCUCAAUCACCGCAGCGUUAUGCCGCAUAAGUGAUCCUGAAAGCGCUUCCACAGCCCGCAAAUAAGGCCCAACCGGAGCUCCAUCAUAAGGUACAAUAUCGGAGAGCUUAACCCGUGCUAACGGCAACCCAUGUUCCACAGAAGGCGACCCAAUGGAAGGAAAUAGCUGGGUAUUUGAAGUAGGUGUGUUGGGGGAUCUAAGAACGGAAGCUGAAGAAGGUGGGGGAGGAUUGAUUGGAUGAGUUGAGG